AUGGGGAAGAUCACCUUCUACGAGGACCGGGGCUUCCAGGGCCGCUGCUACGAAUGCACCAGCGACUGCCCCAACCUGCAGACCUACUUCAGCCGCUGCAACUCGGUGCGCGUGGACAGCGGCUGCUGGAUGCUCUACGAGCGCCCCAACUACCAGGGCCACCAGUACUUCGUGCGGCGUGGCGAGUACCCCGACUACCAGCAGUGGAUGGGCCUCAGCGACUCGGUCCGCUCCUGCUGUCUGAUCCCCCAGACAAGCUCUCACAGGAUUCGGCUGUAUGAGAGAGAAGACCACAAAGGCCUCAUGAUGGAGCUGAGUGAGGAUUGCCCCAGCAUCCAGGAUCGCUUCCACCUCAGCGAGGUCCGUUCCCUCCAUGUGGUGGAAGGCUGCUGGGUCCUCUAUGAGCUGCCCAACUACCGCGGGCGGCAGCACCUGCUGAGGCCCCAGGAGUACAGGCGGCACCACGACUGGGGGGCCACGGAUGCCAAGGCAGGCUCUCUGCGGAGAGCAGUGGAUUUAUACUAAAAUAGGUUAACACUACCAUUUUCUCAUUUUGGAACCUAAUAAAGUGUUUAGUCUGUAUUGUUGGCAA